rnacentral:rRNA from 1 species
UUUUUCGAGAGUUUGAUCCUGGCUCAGGAUGAACGCUGGCUGUGUGCCUAAUACAUGCAUGUCGAGCGGAGUUCUUCGGAACUUAGCGGCGAAUGGGUGAGUAACACGUACUUAACAUGCCUUUUAGAUUGGGACAACGAUGAGAAAUUAUCGCUAAUACCGGAUACUUAUAUGGUUCGCAUGAACUAUAUAUAAAAGAAGCCUUUAAAGCUUCACUAAAAGAUUGGGGUGCGGAACAUUAGCUAGUUGGUAAGGUAAUGGCUUACCAAGGCGAUGAUGUUUAGCGGGGUUGAGAGACUGAUCCGCCACACUGGGACUGAGAUACGGCCCAGACUCCUACGGGAGGCAGCAGUAGGGAAUUUUCCACAAUGGACGAAAGUCUGAUGGAGCGACACAGCGUGCAGGAUGAAGGCCUUCGGGUUGUAAACUGCUGUUAUAAGGGAAGAAAAAGCAGUAGAGGAAAUGCUAUUGCCUUGACGGUACCUUGUCAGAAAGCAACGGCUAACUAUGUGCCAGCAGCCGCGGUAAUACAUAGGUUGCAAGCGUUAUCCGGAAUUAUUGGGCGUAAAGCGUCUGUAGGUUGUAUGUUAAGUCUGGCGUGAAAACUUGGGGCUCAACCCCAAAUUGCGUUGGAUACUGGCAUGCUAGAAUUGUGUAGAGGUUAGCGGAAUUCCUAGUGAAGCGGUGAAAUGCGUAGAUAUUAGGAAGAACAUCAACAUGGCGAAGGCAGCUAACUGGGCACAUAUUGACACUGAGAGACGAAAGCGUGGGGAGCAAACAGGAUUAGAUACCCUGGUAGUCCACGCUGUAAACGAUGAUGAUUAGCUGAUAGUAGAACUAUCGGCACAGCUAACGCAUUAAAUCAUCCGCCUGAGUAGUAUGCUCGCAAGAGUGAAACUUAAAGGAAUUGACGGGGAUCCGCACAAGCGGUGGAGCAUGUGGUUUAAUUUGAAGAUACGCGUAGAACCUUACCCACUCUUGACAUCUUCCGCAAAGCUAUAGAGAUAUAGUGGAGGCUAACGGAAUGACAGAUGGUGCAUGGUUGUCGUCAGCUCGUGUCGUGAGAUGUUCGGUUAAGUCCUGCAACGAGCGCAACCCUUGUCCUUAGUUAAUUUUCUAGGGAGACUGCCCGAGUAAUUGGGAGGAAGGUGGGGACGACGUCAAAUCAUCAUGCCUCUUACGAGUGGGGCAACACACGUGCUACAAUGGAUGGUACAAAGAGAAGCAAAACGGCGACGUCAAGCAAAUCUCAAAAAACCAUUCUCAGUUCGGAUUGUAGUCUGCAACUCGACUACAUGAAGUCGGAAUCGCUAGUAAUCGUAGAUCAGCUACGCUACGGUGAAUACGUUCUCGGGUCUUGUACACACCGCCCGUCACACCAUGGGAGCUGGUAAUGCCCGAAGUCGGUUUUGUUAACUACGGAGACAACUGCCUAAGGCAGGGCCGGUGACUGGGGUGAAGUCGUAACAAGGUAUCCCUACGAGAACGUGGGGAUGGAUUACCUCCUUU